rnacentral:rRNA from 1 species
GACGAACGCUGGCGGCGUGCUUAACACAUGCAAGUCGAGCGGAGCGGCGAACGGGUGAGUAACGCGUGAGUAACUGCCCCCCUCUCUGGGAUAACAGUUGGAAAAGGCUGCUAAUACCGGAUAGUGGGGGAUGACUCGUGUCCUAUCAGCGGGUUGGUGGGGUAGUGACCUACCAAGGCGACGACGGGUCGCCGGCCUGGGCGGGCGACCAGCCACAUUGGGCUGAGAUACGGCCCAAACUCCUACGGGAGGCAGCCGUGGGGAAUAUUGCCCAAUGGGGGAACCCCUGAUGCAGCAACGCGCGUGCGGAAUGACGGCCUUCGGGUUGUAAACCGCGUCCAGCCAUGACGCGGUAGUGGCAGAAGAAGCACCGGCUAACUACGUGCCAGCAGCCGCGGUAAUAC